CGUGCCUAAUACAUGCAAGUCGAACGAAGCUUUCUUUCACCGAAUGCUUGCAUUCACCGAAAGAAGCUUAGUGGCGAACGGGUGAGUAACACGUAGGCAACCUGCCCAAAAGAGGGGGAUAACACUUGGAAACAGGUGCUAAUACCGCAUAACCAUGAACACCGCAUGAUGUUCAUGUAAAAGACGGCUUUUGCUGUCACUUUUGGAUGGGCCUGCGGCGUAUUAACUUGUUGGUGGGGUAACGGCCUACCAAGGUGAUGAUACGUAGCCGAACUGAGAGGUUGAUCGGCCACAUUGGGACUGAGACACGGCCCAAACUCCUACGGGAGGCAGCAGUAGGGAAUCUUCCACAAUGGACGAAAGUCUGAUGGAGCAACGCCGCGUGAAUGAAGAAGGCCUUCGGGUCGUAAAAUUCUGUUGUCAGAGAAGAACGUGCGUGAGAGUAACUGUUCACGUAUUGACGGUAUCUGACCAGAAAGCCACGGCUAACUACGUGCCAGCAGCCGCGGUAAUACGUAGGUGGCGAGCGUUGUCCGGAUUUAUUGGGCGUAAAGGGAACGCAGGCGGUCUUUUAAGUCUGAUGUGAAAGCCUUCGGCUUAACCGAAGUAGUGCAUUGGAAACUGGAAGACUUGAGUGCAGAAGAGGAGAGUGGAACUCCAUGUGUAGCGGUGAAAUGCGUAGAUAUAUGGAAGAACACCAGUGGCGAAAGCGGCUCUCUGGUCUGUAACUGACGCUGAGGUUCGAAAGCGUGGGUAGCAAACAGGAUUAGAUACCCUGGUAGUCCACGCCGUAAACGAUGAGUGCUAAGUGUUGGAGGGUUUCCGCCCUUCAGUGCUGCAGCUAACGCAUUAAGCACUCCGCCUGGGGAGUACGGUCGCAAGACUGAAACU
rnacentral:rRNA from 1 species